ensembl:snRNA U4 U4 spliceosomal RNA
UUUAUAAAGUUUGGAGAAAAAAGUCUAUGAGGUUUAUCCAAGGUGUGAUUAUUGCUAGUUGAAAACUUUAUCCAAUACCCCGACUUGACGACUUGACACAUAGUCGGAGAUGGCAAUUUUGAUGGUCUCUAAGGAGA